rnacentral:rRNA from 1 species
UCGAGAAUCUUCCGCAAUGGGCGAAAGCCUGACGGAGCGACGCCGCGUGUAGGAUGAAGGCCCUCGGGUUGUAAACUACUGUCACGGGUUAUGAAUGUGCAUAUGUUAACAGCGUGUGUAUUGACGUAAGCCCGAAAGGAAGCACCGGCUAACUCUGUGCCAGCAGCCGCGGUAAUACAGAGGGUGCAAACGUUGUUCGGAAUUACUGGGCAUAAAGCGCGCGUAGGCGGCGACGUAAGUGUAGGGUGAAAUCCCACGGCUCACCCGUGUGAAUUGCCCCGCAUACUGCGUUGCUUGAGUGUGGUAGGGGAGAGCGGAACUCCUGGUGGAGCGGUGAAAUGCGUAGAUAUCAGGAGGAACACCGGUGGCGUAGGCGGCUCUCUGGUCCAUAACUGACGCUGAAGUGCGAAAGCUAGGGUAGCGAACGGGAUUAGAUACCCAUGUAGUCCCUGAGCGGGCUGGCAAGGCGCAU